GAUGAACGCUGGCGGCGUGCCUAAUACAUGCAAGUCGAGCGAACGGACGAGAAGCUUGCUUCUCUGAUGUUAGCGGCGGACGGGUGAGUAACACGUGGAUAACCUACCUAUAAGACUGGGAUAACUUCGGGAAACCGGAGCUAAUACCGGAUAAUAUUUUGAACCGCAUGGUUCAAAAGUGAAAGACGGUCUUGCUGUCACUUAUAGAUGGAUCCGCGCUGCAUUAGCUAGUUGGUAAGGUAACGGCUUACCAAGGCAACGAUGCAUAGCCGACCUGAGAGGGUGAUCGGCCACACUGGAACUGAGACACGGUCCAGACUCCUACGGGAGGCAGCAGUAGGGAAUCUUCCGCAAUGGGCGAAAGCCUGACGGAGCAACGCCGCGUGAGUGAUGAAGGUCUUCGGAUCGUAAAACUCUGUUAUUAGGGAAGAACAUAUGUGUAAGUAACUGUGCACAUCUUGACGGUACCUAAUCAGAAAGCCACGGCUAACUACGUGCCAGCAGCCGCGGUAAUACGUAGGUGGCAAGCGUUAUCCGGAAUUAUUGGGCGUAAAGCGCGCGUAGGCGGUUUUUUAAGUCUGAUGUGAAAGCCCACGGCUCAACCGUGGAGGGUCAUUGGAAACUGGAAAACUUGAGUGCAGAAGAGGAAAGUGGAAUUCCAUGUGUAGCGGUGAAAUGCGCAGAGAUAUGGAGGAACACCAGUGGCGAAGGCGACUUUCUGGUCUGUAACUGACGCUGAUGUGCGAAAGCGUGGGGAUCAAACAGGAUUAGAUACCCUGGUAGUCCACGCCGUAAACGAUGAGUGCUAAGUGUUAGGGGGUUUCCGCCCCUUAGUGCUGCAGCUAACGCAUUAAGCACUCCGCCUGGGGAGUACGACCGCAAGGUUGAAACUCAAAGGAAUUGACGGGGACCCGCACAAGCGGUGGAGCAUGUGGUUUAAUUCGAAGCAACGCGAAGAACCUUACCAAAUCUUGACAUCCUUUGACAACUCUAGAGAUAGAGCCUUCCCCUUCGGGGGACAAAGUGACAGGUGGUGCAUGGUUGUCGUCAGCUCGUGUCGUGAGAUGUUGGGUUAAGUCCCGCAACGAGCGCAACCCUUAAGCUUAGUUGCCAUCAUUAAGUUGGGCACUCUAAGUUGACUGCCGGUGACAAACCGGAGGAAGGUGGGGAUGACGUCAAAUCAUCAUGCCCCUUAUGAUUUGGGCUACACACGUGCUACAAUGGACAAUACAAAGGGCAGCGAAACCGCGAGGUCAAGCAAAUCCCAUAAAGUUGUUCUCAGUUCGGAUUGUAGUCUGCAACUCGCCUACAUGAAGCUGGAAUCGCUAGUAAUCGUAGAUCAGCAUGCUACGGUGAAUACGUUCCCGGGUCU
rnacentral:rRNA from 1 species